rnacentral:rRNA from 1 species
UACGGAGGGUGCGAGCGUUGUCCGGAAUCAUUGGGCGUAAAGGGCGCGUAGGUGGCGGCUUAAGCGUGCGGUGAAAGCUCGGGGCUCAACCCCGAGUCGGCCGUGCGAACUGAGUCGCUUGAGCACUGUAGAGGCAGGCGGAAUCCGGGUGUAGCGGUGGAAUGCGUAGAGAUCCGGAAGAACACCGGUGGCGAAGGCGGCCGGCUGGGCAGAGCUGACACUGAGGCG